rnacentral:rRNA from 1 species
AGCGAACGCUGGCGGCAGGCCUAACACAUGCAAGUCGAACGAACUCUUCGGAGGUAGUGGCGGACGGGUGAGUAACACGUGGGAACGUGCCUUUAGGUUCGGCAUAACUCAGGGAAACGUGUGCUAAUACCGAAUGUGCCCUUCGGGGGAAAGAUUUAUCGCCUUUGGAGCGGCCCGCGUCUGAUUAGCUCGUUGGUGAGGUAAAGGGUCACCAAGGCGACGAUUAGUAGGUGGUUUGUGAGGCUGGUCACCCACAUUGGGACUGAGACACGGCCCGAACUCCUACGCGAGGCGGCAGUGGCUGAUCUUGCGAAAUGGCCUGAAGCCUGACGGAGCCCUGCCGCGUGAAUGAUGAAGGUAUGAGGAUUGUAAAAUUCUUUUACCGGGGCCCAUCAUGACGGUACCUGGAGAAGAAGCCCCGGCUAACUUCGUG